rnacentral:rRNA from 1 species
UACGUAGGGUGCGAGCGUUAAUCGGAAUUACUGGGCGUAAAGGGUGCGCAGGCGGUUAUAUAAGACAGAUGUGAAAUCCCCGGGCUCAACCUGGGAACUGCGUUUGUGACUGUAUGACUAGAGUACGGUAGAGAGGGGUGGAAUUCCUGGUGUAGCAGUGAAAUGCGUAGAUAUCAGGAGGAACACCGGUGGCGAAGGCGGGUCUCUGGGCCGAUACUGACGCUGAGGCGCGAAAGCGUGGGGAGCAAACAGG